UACGUAGGAGGCAAGCGUUGUCCGGAAUUACUGGGCGUAAAGCGCGCGUAGGCGGUAGGCCAAGUCUGCUGUGAAAUCGCCCGGCUCAACUGGGCGCGGUCGGUGGAAACUGGUCAACUGGAGGACGGUAGAGGCGAGUGGAAUUCCCGGUGUAGUGGUGAAAUGCGUAGAGAUCGGGAGGAACACCAGUGGCGAAGGCGGCUCGCUGGGCCGGACCUGACGCUGGAGGCGCGAAGGCGUGGGGAGCGAACGGG
rnacentral:rRNA from 1 species